AUGAAACCAUUUCUAGGCAAAGUGACUACACAGAGAAGGACCAUAAAAGGCAGCUCAAGGGGAGGAAACACCUCAAGCUUGUUCCCCCUCCCCCCACCUUCUCACAUAAAAUGCAAAACCAGAUACAUGUCAGAAGAAAAACCCAGAAUAGAUGCAAAUCAAAUCCACUUAAGUUCAGAGGUCUGCAGAAUCUCGCUGGGGCAGAGGGUGUUGAGAAGGUGCAUUGCUGGCAGAUUUCCUGUCCCUUUAAAGUCUUGUGGUCUGCGCAGUCGCCUUGAUGCCUGGCUCGCCUGCCUGGAGGAGGAAAGGUCCCUAAGUGUGCUGCUGCCUUCCUGCCCCAGAAUCCUUCAUCUGGCCUGGAGUCAGGAUUUGCCAGCUCAGGUUAGGCUGGAAAGUAGGAAGGCCUGUCAGUUCAGGCAGGAGAGGGUAUGCUGGCAAUAUGCUUCCCACAAGAUCACCUUGUUUGGUGCAGAAGGACAAAUAUCAAGCAUGGGUCACAAAUAAUAGUGCUGAUGUUCAUCAAAGAAGAAAG
rnacentral:lncRNA from 12 species